rnacentral:rRNA from 1 species
AGUUUGAUCCUGGCUCAGGAUGAACGCUAGCUACAGGCUUAACACAUGCAAGUCGAGGGGAAACGACAUCGAAAGCUUGCUUUUGAUGGGCGUCGACCGGCGCACGGGUGAGUAACGCGUAUCCAACCUGCCCACCACUUGGGGAUAACCUUGCGAAAGUAAGACUAAUACCCAAUGAUAUCUCUAGAAGACAUCUGAAAGAGAUUAAAGAUUUAUCGGUGAUGGAUGGGGAUGCGUCUGAUUAGCUUGUUGGCGGGGUAACGGCCCACCAAGGCUACGAUCAGUAGGGGUUCUGAGAGGAAGGUCCCCCACAUUGGAACUGAGACACGGUCCAAACUCCUACGGGAGGCAGCAGUGAGGAAUAUUGGUCAAUGGACGAGAGUCUGAACCAGCCAAGUAGCGUGCAGGAUGACGGCCCUAUGGGUUGUAAACUGCUUUUAUAAGGGAAUAAAGUGAGUCUCGUGAGGCUUUUUGCAUGUACCUUAUGAAUAAGGACCGGCUAAUUCCGUGCCAGCAGCCGCGGUAAUACGGAAGGUCCGGGCGUUAUCCGGAUUUAUUGGGUUUAAAGGGAGCGUAGGCCGGAGAUUAAGCGUGUUGUGAAAUGUAGACGCUCAACGUCUGCACUGCAGCGCGAACUGGUUUCCUUGAGUACGCACAAAGUGGGCGGAAUUCGUGGUGUAGCGGUGAAAUGCUUAGAUAUCACGAAGAACUCCGAUUGCGAAGGCAGCUCACUGGAGCGCAACUGACGCUGAAGCUCGAAAGUGCGGGUAUCGAACAGGAUUAGAUACCCUGGUAGUCCGCACGGUAAACGAUGGAUGCCCGCUGUUGGUCUGAAUAGGUCAGCGGCCAAGCGAAAGCAUUAAGCAUCCCACCUGGGGAGUACGCCGGCAACGGUGAAACUCAAAGGAAUUGACG